CCGUCUCCAUAAAUAUGUGACCCUCCCAAACGGCGGGAAAUAUUGCAAUGCCGCUGCAGUUAUUCUUGACACUGAAUAUCAUUGCAGCGGCAUGUAAAAAUUCUUUUUCGGGUAUCUUUGACUUGUAUUUUUUGUUUUAGCUAGCGCGAGUGGGGGUGGGAGUAGAAAACAAAAAUUUUUAAAAAGAACGAAAUGUGGAUUAAGAAAAGAGAAAAAUGUGGUAGUAUUUGGUAUGGCACGAGCAUUAGAGCACAUGGGAAGGUUUAUUGGGCCUUUGCCAGAAUUUCAUCGUGAAACUUACAGGUUGUCUGAAGCAAUCAAAAUAGAAAUAGUAAGGCUGCACAGAAAUGAAUUUGGAACUCCCUAUAGAAUUGCGAAACAUUUAAAAAUAUCGAAGAGAUCCGUUAAUCUGUGGAUUAAUCGAUAUGAAGAAGAAAGAGAAUUGCAAUGUAAAGUUAAUGCGAAUGGUCGACCUAGUCUCACAACGGAAAACGAAGAUUUUUUAUUAACAUGUUCAGCCGUUGUUAACAACUUUGAUAAUUCCCUGGCCAUUGCGGGAAAUGCUGGACUUGCCCACUUAUC